rnacentral:lncRNA from 1 species
AGUUGGCCAAGUACUAUCGCCUGAAUGGACUCGGAGGAUGUGUAUGACGAUGUUGAAACUCUACCCAUGAAAAAUAUGGAAAAUGGUAAUAAUGGUUAUCAUAAAGAUCAUUUAUAUGGUGUUCACAAUCCCGUUAUGACAAGGUAACGCAAAGCCCAGAAGUGCAUGCCUGUCCUGUGACCACUCUGCUUAUUCCCUGUAGAUCAGACCCUGAGCCUUCUGCAUGCUGCUGACCCCUUCACUUCCCCCUGCCUGCAGGACCCUCUCUCAGUGGCUGUCCCCAGUCACCCCUACAUAGCAUUCCACGAUGCCACAAGUUUGCAUUUUCAACGGAUUUCUUAGCAGCUGGAAUUGUGCAGCAACGAAAGCUUGGUUUCAUCUUAAAAUGCUAUGUAUGGCUCAUCUAAAUCAUUACGGAUUAAACGCAUGCACACUUUUGAUUUAGCAUUUCUCUGCAUUGAACACACUAAGUGUUAAUAGCUCUCCAGGCCUACCCUUCUUUCCCUCCCCCUUCUUCCUUUCCUCCCUUCCUUCCAGUAAAUUGACUAUGAUUGACCAG